rnacentral:rRNA from 1 species
GAUGAACGCUGGCGGCGUGCCUAAUACAUGCAAGUAGAACGCUGAAGCUUGGUGCUUGCACCGAGCGGAGGAGUUGCGAACGGGUGAGUAACGCGUAGGUAACCUGCCUCUUAGCGGGGGAUAACUAUUGGAAACGAUAGCUAAUACCGCAUAAAAGUCGACAUUGCAUGAUGUUGACUUGAAAGGUGCAACUGCAUCACUAAGAGAUGGACCUGCGUUGUAUUAGCUAGUUGGUGAGGUAACGGCUCACCAAGGCGACGAUACAUAGCCGACCUGAGAGGGUGAUCGGCCACACUGGGACUGGGACACGGCCCAGACUCCUACGGGAGGCAGCAGUAGGGAAUCUUCGGCAAUGGACGGAAGUCUGACCGAGCAACGCCGCGUGAGUGAAGAAGGUUUUCGGAUCGUAAAGCUCUGUUGUAAGAGAAGAACGAGUGUGAGAGUGGAAAGUUCACACUGUGACGGUAACUUACCAGA